rnacentral:piRNA from 1 species
UCACACGGGCUUCUAUACCGCUUCGAC